rnacentral:rRNA from 1 species
AUGGAGGCGCAGCCGCCGGAGACGGACGCGCAUCCUUCUUCCUCGGCGUCGGUGGCUGCUGCGUCCUCGGAGAGUGCUGUCAUGCAAAUCAGGGCGAAGAGAACAUGCUAUGCCUCUGCCUCAUCUGUGACACGCGGAUGGGCCGAGCUCCCAGACGACUUGCUCCGACCCAUCGUCGCUCUCCUCAGCUCGUUCCGCGACCUCCUCGCCUUUGGUUCCACCUGUCUUCCUUGGCGUGAUUUCUCAGCGCACACGUCCUCUUUGUACCCUCUCCUCCUCCACCCGAGCACCGACAGCCAACGGUAUCCCUGGUACGACUAUGACUACUGGACCCUUUUCCACGAAUGCACGUGGAGAUUGUCUGAUCCUGCUGCCGCCUCAUCCUAUCCCAGUUUGCUUCCCUUGAGUGACCUCAGAGGCAUGUUCUUUCUGCGCUGCUCCUACGGUCACCUCAUCUUCUUCGACAACAAGGGGUUCUACAUUAUUGAUGCGUUCAGUGGCACUAAGGUUGUGACUCCUUGCCUCAAGUCAGACAACUUCGUUCACAUUAGCUAUGCCACCUUGACUGCCCCUGUUGCAUCCGCUGACUCGCAUCUCCUUGUCGGCAGCGGAGGCUAUCUGUUUCAGUGGCGCGUCGGGAGCGACUCUUGGUUGGAACACUAUCCUAAAGUUCCUUUUCUUAGGAUUGAACAAAUCGUGGCCUUCAAGGGCAAAACAUACACCCUGGGGUCUUUUGGGUCCUUCUGCAUCGUACAAUUUUCGCCCUGUCUCUUAGUUCAUAAGUUUGAAAUUAUGUUUGAGGAAGGUAGAACUGAAGAUCGCUAUUGGACAAAUCAAAAAACAUGGCUUGUGGUGUGCGACGUGCUUCUCUUAAUCAAACUUGAGGCAGUAAAAAUGACAAGCUCUGAGGUUUUCCAGUUCAAGGCCUUCAAGCUCAAGUCAUUGGACGCCAAGAACAAGAAGGCAAGGUGGGAGAAGGUGGACAGGUUGAAUAACUGGGCCAUCUUUGUCAGCGCCGACGGGCGAUGCGAGGCGUUGUCGUUCAUGAACCCGGAGAGAUGGGGAGGGAGGAGCAACCUUAUAUACUUCCCAAGUUAUGAGAAAGAACAACCUUGGGCUGCAGUGCAACUAUGGCAAAGAGCUAACAACCAUUCGACAAGUUCGUGGCUCUCGAAACUGGAAGCCAGUACCACAGAUUGGUGCCAACCUGGGUCCUCCCCGCUGCAUUUCGUCGCUCCGGUCAGCAAUGAUCUUACGGCCAUCGCAGAGCCCCACUGUCGCAAGAAUGGACAAGGAAAAGGGGAAGGAGAGGAGAAGGAGAAUGAGAAAGAGAGGAGUUUGGUCUCCAUUAUGAAGACUAAGCCGCCUGCCCCAGGAAGCAGAAGGGGAAGGGCAAGGGCUGUGUCGCUGCCAAGGAAGCAGGCCAAGGAUUACGGCAAUGUCCCGCUCGCCGAGUUGUUAUUACGGGCAAUGGAGCAUGAUAAGCAAGCAGAGAAGGAUUAUGAAGAGGAGGAAGAGAAUGAGGAGGAAGAGGAUGAGUAA